rnacentral:rRNA from 1 species
GACGAACGCUGGCGGCGUGCUUAACACAUGCAAGUCGAACGGAAAGGCCCCUUUGGGGGUACUCGAGUGGCGAACGGGUGAGUAACACGUGAGUAACCUGCCCUUGACUUCGGGAUAACUUCAGGAAACUGGGGCUAAUACCGGAUAGGAAUCCUUGCUGCAUGGUGGGGGUUGGAAAGCUUCGGCGGUUUUGGAUGGACUCGCGGCUUAUCAGCUUGUUGGUGGGGUAGUGGCUUACCAAGGCUUUGACGGGUAGCCGGCCUGAGAGGGCGACCGGCCACAUUGGGACUGAGAUACGGCCCAGACUCCUACGGGAGGCAGCAGUGGGGAAUAUUGCACAAUGGGCGGAAGCCUGAUGCAGCAACGCCGCGUGCGGGAUGACGGCCUUCGGGUUGUAAACCGUUUUCAGCAGGGGCGAAGCUUGUGGUGACGGUACCUGCAGAAGAAGCACCGGCUAACUACGUG